UGGGAUGUUGGGUUAAGUCCCGCAACGAGCGCAACCCCCGUCCUUAGUUGCUACCAUUUAGUUGAGCACUCUAAGGAGACUGCCGGUGAUAAGCCGCGAGGAAGGUGGGGAUGACGUCAAGUCCUCAUGGCCCUUACGGGCUGGGCUACACACGUGCUACAAUGGCGGUGACAAUGGGAUGCAAAGGCGCAAGCCCCAGCAAAUCUCAAAAAGCCGUCUCAGUUCGGAUUGGGCUCUGCAACUCGAGCCCAUGAAGUUGGAAUCGCUAGUAAUCGUGGAUCAGCAUGCCACGGUGAAUACGUUCCCGGGCCUUGUACACACCGCCCGUCACACCAUGGGAGUUGGUUUUACCUGAAGACGGUGCGCUAACCGCAAGGAGGCAGCCGGCCACGGUAGGGUCAGCGACUGGGGUGAAGUCGUAACAAGGUAA
rnacentral:rRNA from 1 species